AGAGUUUGAUCCUGGCUCAGAACGAACGCUGGCGGCAGGCCUAACACAUGCAAGUCGAACGAGAACGCACCUUCGGGUGUCAGUACAGUGGCGGACGGGUGAGUAACGCGUGGGAACCUACCCUGGAGUGGGGGACAACUGCUGGAAACGGCAGCUAAUACCGCAUACGCCCUACGGGGGAAAGAUUUAUCGCUCUAGGACGGGCCCGCGUCAGAUUAGCUUGUUGGUAGGGUAAUGGCCUACCAAGGCUACGAUAUGUAGCUGGUCUGAGAGGAUGAUCAGCCACACUGGGACUGAGACACGGCCCAGACUCCUACGGGAGGCAGC
rnacentral:rRNA from 1 species